CUAAGAAAAUUUUGGUGGGGUAGUAGGCAAGGUCAAAUGAAGCCGGCAUGGGUGUCCUGGGAAACUAUGUGCAAGCCUAAGUUCAUGGGAGGGUUGGGGUUCCGUGACAUCGAGCUCUUUAAUCUUGCUCUAUGGGUACACCAGGUGUGGAGAAUUUUACAAGAGCCUAAUUUCCUGAGUGCACGAGUUUUGAAGGCAAGGUACUUUCCAGACGGGAGGACGUGA
rnacentral:rRNA from 1 species